rnacentral:rRNA from 1 species
AUUGAACGCUGGCGGCAGGCCUAACACAUGCAAGUCGAACGAGUGGCGGACGGGCGAGUUGUGUCUGGGAAACUGCCUGAUGGAGGGGGAUAACUACUGGAAAAGGUAGCUAAUAGCGCAUAACAUCGUAUGGGCCCAGAUGGGAUUAGCUAGUCGGUGGGGAAAAGGCUCACCUAGGCGACGAUCCCUAGCUGGUCUGAGAGGAUGACCAGCCACACUGGAACUGCGACACGGUCCAGACUCCUACGGGAGGCAGCAGUGGGGAAUAUUGCACAAUGGGCGAAAGCCUGACGGAGCCAUGCCGCGUGUAUGAAGAAGGCCUUCGGGUUGUAAAGCACUUUCAGCGGGGAGGCGUUACCCGCAGAAGAAGCACCGGCUAACUCCGUGCCAGCAGCCGCGGUAAUAC